rnacentral:rRNA from 1 species
UACGUAGGCGGCUUUGUAGGUUGGGUGUGAAAUCCCACGGCUCAACCGUGGAACUGCGCUCAAAACCACAGGGCUUGAGGGAAGCAGAGGUAAGCGGAACUGAUGGUGGAGCGGUGAAAUGCGUUGAUAUCAUCAGGAACACCAGUGGCGAAGGCGGCUUACUGGGCUUCUUCUGACGCUGAGGUACGAAAGCUAGGGUAGCGAACGG